rnacentral:rRNA from 1 species
CCUACGGGAGGCAGCAGUGGGGAAUUUUGGACAAUGGGCGCAAGCCUGAUCCAGCCAUGCCGCGUGCGGGAAGAAGGCCUUCGGGUUGUAAACCGCUUUUGUCAGGGAAGAAACGGUCUGAACUAAUAUUUUGGACUAAUGACGGUACCUGAAGAAUAAGCACCGGCUAACUACGUGCCAGCAGCCGCGGUAAUACGUAGGGUGCAAGCGUUAAUCGGAAUUACUGGGCGUAAAGCGUGCGCAGGCGGUUGUGCAAGACAGAUGUGAAAUCCCCGGGUCCAACCUGGGAACUGCAUUUGUGACUGCACAGCUAGAGUACGGUAGAGGGGGAUGGAAUUCCGCGUGUAGCAGUGAAAUGCGUAGAUAUGCGGAGGAACACCGAUGGCGAAGGCAAUCCCCUGGACCUGUACUGACGCUCAUGCACGAAAGCGUGGGGAGCAAACAGGAUUAGAUACCCUGGUAGUCCACGCCCUAAACGAUGUCAACUGGUUGUUGGGAAGGUUCCUUCUCAGUAACGUAGCUAACGCGUGAAGUUGACCGCCUGGGGAUCGGCCGCAAGGUUGAAACUCAAAUGAAAUUGACGGCUGGAGAGNGCGACGACGACGACGAGGGAGGAGG